GACGAACGCUGGCGGCGUGCCUAACACAUGCAAGUCGAACGGAGUUAUCCUUCGGGGUAACUUAGUGGCGAACGGGUGAGUAACGCGUGAGGAACCUGCCUUUCAGUGGGGGACAACAGUUGGAAACGACUGCUAAUACCGCAUAAUGUUAUCGGACCGCAUGGUCUGAUAACCAAAGAUUUAUUGCUGAAAGAUGGCCUCGCGUCUGAUUAGAUAGUUGGUGGGGUAACGGCCUACCAAGUCGACGAUCAGUAGCCGGACUGAGAGGUUGAACGGCCACAUUGGGACUGAGAUACGGCCCAGACUCCUACGGGAGGCAGCAGUGGGGAAUAUUGGGCAAUGGGGGAAACCCUGACCCAGCAACGCCGCGUGAAGGAAGAAGGCCUCGGUGUAACUACUUUACCUAGGACGAAGAACGUAGACGGUACCUGGAG
rnacentral:rRNA from 1 species